CAUUUCUUUGUUGCCCCGGCACCUGUUUCAAGCUUCCGAUUCCAACAAGUAUCGAUGGACUGCGUCGCCGGGACUUCUUCUCUGAUUCUCCAUGUAUCUUCUCUCCGACUCGCCGCCUCCCGCUUCUCGCCUAUCUUUCGAACUCCGAGAUUUAAGUCGCCAGCAUCGCAGAAGCCGCUGUUUUUGUGCAGAGCAUCUGGUUCCGAGAAAGGAGAUUCGGAAAAUGAUUAUCUAUUUAGAGUGGGAAAUGCUUUCGCUGAGGAGGCAAUUGGGGCUGAAUAUGGUGAAGGUUUUGAGACUUUUAGGUUGGAUGGUCCUCUUAAGCUUGAUGUGGAUUACUUAAAUGAGAGAUUGCAAGAAUGUUUUCUCCAGAGGAUACGGCAUGCUAUGAAACCUGAUGAAGCUUUUGGACUUGUCUUCUCAUGGGACAAUGUUGUGGCUGAUACCCGCUCCUUGAAGUUGGAUGCUUGGAGACGACUUGCUUCUGAAGAGGGAAGGGAGAUCCCAACUGCUGGCCAUGUACUUAGAACUAUUGUUAACACUGCUGCUGAUCAUGUUCUGCAAAAGGUUUUGUGCUGGGAAAAAGAGGAGAGUAGGUUGGAGAAGUUGAAGUCGAGGCUUUCACUGCUGUAUUAUCAAAAUCUUCUCAAGCUUGACACUCCAAUGAAAGGUUUAAAGGAAUGGUUGGAUGCCGUUUAUACUGCUGGGACACCUUGUGCUGUUGUGUCAUGCCUUGAUCGUAAAAUUAUGCUUGAAACUUUAAAACGAAUGGGAAUCAGCAAGUAUUUUCAGGCUGUUGUGACAGAAGAGGAUGGGAUGGAAUCAACAGCUCAUAGAUUUCUAUCAGCUGCGUUGAAGUUAGAUCGAAAACCUUCAAAGUGUGUUGUAUUUGAAGAUGAUCCAAGAGGUAUUACUGCAGCCCACAAUUGUACAAUGAUGGCAGUUGCAUUGAUUGGUGCUCAUCCAGCGUACGAAUUGGAGCAGGCCGAUCUUGCCGUGGCAAGCUUCAAUGAACUUUCUGUUAUCAACUUGAAAAGACUCUUUGCACAUAAAGGGUUGAAUUUUAUGGAUUUACAGAAUCAAAUCGUAAACAAGUCACCAUCCAGAAGGAAACUCAGGACCGAUACAAUCGUUUGAUUCUGUUUACUAUUUUUAUACCAUAUGGAAUUUGAGAUAAAACUCAGGACCUCUACCAUUUUUUAAUGCAUAGGAAGCAAAAAUUCUUCGUUAUGUUAAGAACUGCCUCAAAAGUGUCUCAAAGCUCACCUGUUUAGAAGUUUUGUUUGUAUGAAGAUGGAUGUUUCUAGGUUUGCAUGAUGCUCAUUGAUGACGAGAAGUUGAUGUCCAGUUCUGUCCAUGUGCUCUGUCAUUA